GGUGGGACAGAGCUUCUCACAUCCUUUGGACUCUGGGUUGCCAAAACAGCUCUGGAUGCAAGCUUGAGCUGCUCUGAUUUCCAAUUGCUUUCUGUGGGGAUGCUUCUCCCUGUCCUACACAGAGGAAAUCCUGCAGAGGGAGAGGACACCUCCUGGAAGGCCACAGUGAAGAUGAAGGUGCAGUAAAACCCUGUGAGGAGCCAGGACUUCCCCAGGAAUCACCAGGUUCAGAGCCCCGGCAGCUCCCUGCCCGCAGCCGCUCGGGGAUGCUCACAGGCUGACUGGGGGCUUUCUACCAAGCACCAUUCAACCACAGCCCUGUUGGUCCAGGCAGGGGUGAUGCUUCUGGUUUCAGCAGGAAACAGGGGUGAGAAGACACCACACAAAUGCACAGGGCUCAACCUCUCCUCAAUGUGACCUGGCACAAGUUCCUGUGGAGACGGGCUGUCCUGCACCAGCUGAAAACCCAAACCAUGUUGCAGGUGGCAUGGGCUUUAUCUUCUCUCAAGAGAACACCAUUGCUCGAUGAUCAAAAGUUGAUUGGAAAUGGAAACAAAUCCACCUGGAAAAAAAAUCAAACUUUUUUCCACCUCACGUGCUUUGAAACUCUCCCCUUUUCUAUGAUUUUCAUCAUUAAUUGAAGUUAUUGUUAUUUUAGGAAACCUUUUGAAACGUGCCUUUUGGUGAGAAAAUGUAGGGUCUGUCCAAUAAAAGAAUUACUACCAGGAUUUCAAAUGCAUAGUAAAAAAUUGCCUCUAAUUUCAUUAAAAAAUACAAUAAUAUAAUUAAUAUUAAAAUAGUUUCAUAAAA